rnacentral:rRNA from 1 species
UUCCUCUUGGGUCAUUAGAGGAAGUAAAAGUCGUAACAAGGUUUCCGUAGGUGAACCUGCGGAAGGAUCAUUAGUGAUUUUGAAUCGUUGCCUUCAGUGCUGGCUCCUGAGCAAGUGCACGUUGGUGACUUUCAUCCAUUACCCUGUGCACCUUUGGCCUCUUGUUGGCUUCGGCUGACGGAGGAUUUUACACAUAAACUCGAAUGUAAUGAAAACUACUGUCGUGCGCAAGCACUAAUGUACAACUUUCAACAACGGAUCUCUUGGCUCUCGCAUCGAUGAAGAACGCAGCGAAAUGCGAUAAGUAAUGUGAAUUGCAGAAUUCAGUGAAUCAUCGAAUCUUUGAACGCACCUUGCACCCUUUGGUAUUCCGAAGGGUAUGCUCGUUUGAGUGUCAUUGUACUCUCACACUCCCUAAUGGCUUGCAUUAGGAGUGGUGGACUUGGGUGUUGCUGCUUCACGGUGGCUCACCUGAAAUGCAUUAGUGCACCUCCUGGUUGGACAUAGUACGGCGUGAUAAGUGUCUUCGCCGGCGCCUCGAAAGAGGGUGGCCGAUUGGGAGCUCUGGGCUUCUAACUGUCUUAGGACACUCUCUGACAACUUGACCUCAAAUCGAGUAGGACUACCCGCUGAACUUAAGCAUAUCAAUAAGCCGGGAGGAAA